ensembl:lncRNA
UGCUUCCCGUCAUGCAAUUAUAGGACCUGAAAUGCUGAGAGGACAUAGAGCUGUCUAAAUGUGCAUAACGCAAACCACAUCUUGGAUAACAUUUUACCCACAGGACCCAGAUGCAGCUGAAAUUAGUGAAGGAGCGGCGCGUGAUGACUGGAUGAACAUCGUCCUGCUCCUGAACACAACAACCCUUCAACAAUUACCAUGGUAACCACAGUUCCUCCCUAAAUACCACAGAUAUGCACUACUGCUUCUGUCUGCUGGCCAAACAUCCCUUUGAGUGCUCCAUCAUCAUAAUCAAUGGCAGGUUGAGCCGGCUGGGGUUUGAAGAUUUACACAAACACUGUUUGCUUUACUUCUGCAUGGCCAUGGAGUUUAGAAGAAAGGCUGCCAUGCAGUUGCCCUGGUCAAGCCCCCUACAGGGUCUGUGAGUUUUGCUAUAGCCUACCCCAAAGGUGCAGGUGAGCCCAGACUGAUCUAAGAUCAGAGACGCAGCCACAGGUGAGCCCUCUAACAUGAUUCCAUGUCCUCAGGCUAUGAAGUCUGAGCCGAGCUUUGGAGGGGCAAGAGGUGUAAAGGGAUAAAUGGAAACCGAAUUCAACAGGCUGCUGCCAAGCGUGGUGUCAUCAGCCAAUGCCACACAGGCACCUUUUUCUCCCUGACAGAAGCUGUUCAAGGCAUUUUUUCACCUUCUUAUCUUCUUUUUUAAUCCUUCAAGGACAGGAAGAGCUCUAAUGGGAGAAUAAAGCAUGUGACAUCUACACAUUUUUAUUUAAAAAAAAUGAACAUCACUGCUUGAGACUUUUGAAAGAACCCUUUUUUUUGUGGGAUUUAGCCAUCACUCUCGGUUCUGAGAGAACAACUCGUGUUAUUGACACCACAAGCACCUUUCUAACCCUUCAACACACUCAUUUGGAUGUGUGAGACCAAUCACUAUCAUUCUGCCUGAAUCCUUUAAUAUCAUUUCCGGACUUUCAUCAAGUUUUUGGCUGGUACAUUUGGUUUAGGGAAUCAGAUGGUAUUUGUUACACAAAGAGAGUUGCUCGCACAACCGGAGCUGUUAAUUAUGAUUGGUUUGUUAUUGCUCACCAGAGCAUAACAAAUCGCCAUUAUGUUGUUUUGCUGAGUCUAAUUUAAUUGUAACAAAAGUAAUUAUCCCUCAUUUAUAUUGAUGCCAUAAGCAGAAGUAAGAGAGCACCUGCUGCCAUAAGCCUGUUGUAUACUAAAAAUAAACCUGGUG